UUAAGUAAAUAAUUAGUUAAUUAUACUAAUUAGGUUAGUUAACUACUCUCUUAAUUUAACAUGUGUAUGACAUGUGGGCCAAGCUCAAUUAGGGCUAACUAAAUCUAUUAAUUAACUUAAACUGAGUAGGUACUCACAGAUGGGACCCACCCCUCUAAUUAAUUUGUGUUAAUUAAAUUGAACAUUGAUUAAUAUGAGUCUAUGACAGAUGGGGCCCAUUGCUCAGGUUUGACUAGUCAGCCCACUGUUGACUAUUGAUGUUAGCAUGACAUCAUGCUAAUGUCAUUAUUAAACUAACUGAAUUAAAUUAAAUCUCUUUAAUUUCUUAUUAACAAUAAAAUUUCAAAAAUUAAAUAUAAAAUAAUCCAUAAUUCGGAUGAAAAUAUUUUAUACAAUAAAGUUGAUCAGAAAAACGAGACGAACCCGGAUACGUUAUCCGUUCGUCUGCCACGUGUCCUAAGUAUAGCGAACAUGGAACUUUUUCAUCCGUGUCAUAUGUCCGGUAGUAGCCAGAGACAUGGGAAAUAUCGUGAGAUAUUUUUCCGAUCCGUCCAUGGCGUAUAGUACUGCAUUAGCUCAUGCCUAACACUCCAUAUUGCCAUGCCAUGCAUCGUGUUGCAUCUGUGCUUUAUAUUUAUUGUUUCUUCCCCCUUUUAUCUCCGGUAGACACUAACGCUGACGCUACUGCCGGGUACGGCUAUCCUCCUAACGACCAACCCUUUGCUGCAGAGCAACAAGGCAAGCNNNNNNNNNNNNNNNNNNNNNNNNNNNNNNNNNNNNNNNNNNNNNNNNNNNNNNNNNNNNNNNNNNNNNNNNNNNNNNNNNNNNNNNNNNNNNNNNNNNNNNNNNNNNNNNNNNNNNNNNNNNNNNNNGAGCAACAAGGCAAGCAAACCCCCCUUGAUCAUUCCUAUAUCGCCUAUACUUUCUCCCUCAUGCUUGCAUUAGAUUUUGCUACUAUUGUAGAUAGCUCCUAUUCUGAUGCAUAACCUGUUUUUGUUGAACUGCUACUUUACUCUACCACACUUUAAACUGUUUAGUAUAGGUGGAGUAGUGAUCCCCUUUUACCCCCUUAGUCUAGUUGCCCCUGCUUUUUCAUCAAGUCUCGAUCAUCUGAUCGACGAGCCAAGACCCGUCACAUCACUCACACCCACUUAGUUAUAAGACUCUGCAUAGCUACCAUCGAGUACCGAGUGUGAUACCUCAUUACGUACUCCAAUGUUAGCGUUGUAGUGUAGUUGAUCGGCGGUGGUUCUCGGAGGGUGAUUCCUCCUUUACCACCUCCGAUAACGACUCUAUCGUACAACCCACCAAGUGUGGUCCAUCGAGGGUGAUUCCUCCCUGACCACCUUGAUGAUUACAUUGUUCGGAAUCCAUCAAGGGUGAUACCUCAGAUCCCUCUGAUGUUACAGCCGCACAAUUACUUGACCUUGUUACUGCAUACAUGAAAGGUGUGUUGCGGGUGGAUUCUCGUGUGGUUGUGAUGGGGCAUGGUGGGCAUUCUGGGCACUUGCCACACAUCCUCGAGACGGGGCGACAGGCCCAUUUAUCGUGGUUCUGCUCACCACCGCAAUUAAUAAAAUGCUAAUGGUUUCGGUAUUUGAUCUGAGUUGGUCGGGAGACCUUUUCACACUAACCUUCACGUGGGAGAAGUAAUGGGUACUCGACGUCGUGGUAUCAACCGAAGCUCUUCAGACGUCAGCAAUUGAGCGACGCGCGCCCGAGUGGUACAGAUAAGCAUCGUUCUUGUGUAAGAGGUGUCAGGACUGACAUCGGCCACCCUUGGAUCGUGCAGGAGCGCAAAGGGUGAUGGGCCCAUGACCCCUGUGCGCUUAGGAUUUAGACCGGCAGGCUGGCCUCUCUGUUGAGCCUAGGUAGGGCUGCGACGUGUUGAUGUUCCGAGGCCGGGCAUGACUCAGGAAAGUGUAUCCGACCGGAGUUUAUCAAGCGUGUUGGGUACUAUGGUGCACCCCUGCAGAGAUGAAAAAUUAACUAUUCGAAUAGCCGUGUCCACGGUUACAAGACGACUUGGAGUUGUGGCCCGAUCUUAUACAACUUCAAAUCUUACUUAACUCGAAUGUUGCUCCGAGAUUUCUUUCUCGUAGGGAGUCAAGGAAGAAUCUCUGGGCGUGACCUUAAUUAAAUUGCUGCAACAAUAUGACUAUUUAAUUGUGUUACUUGCUCUACUCUCGUCUAUUGCUACAAGACGCUGAAGAUGCUAGUCUUCGAUAGGACUAGUCCCUUCUCUCUAUUCUCUCUUUGCUGCAGUCAGUCCACAUAAUACCCCCUUCCCUUUGAUACCGAUGCAUACUUAGCAUAGUUCUGAUGUCAGUCUUGCGAGUACUUUGGAUGAGUACUCACUGUUGCUUUGCUCCCCUUUUCCCCUUGAUACGAUUGAUAAGACCAGAUGAUGGAGCCCACGAGAUGGGGUAUCCCACCGAUGAUGCCUACUACCCCGACGGUGCCAACUACUACGUGGAGGCCGCUGACGACCAGGAGUAGUUCAGGAGGUUUCCAGGCAGGAGGCCCCGCCUCGUUCGAUCGUUGUAUCUUUUGUGCUAGCCUUCUCUAAGGCUUUUCCAUGUUUUAUGUUUGUACUCAGGUAUUUGUUGCUUCCCCUGACUCGUGUGUUUCUCGAUCUUCUGUAUUCUAGCCCUCGAGGCCCCUGGCUUGUAAUAUGAAGGUUGUAUGUUUUUAUUUGUGUCUAGAGUUGUGUUGUGAUAUCUUCCCAUGAGUCCUUGAGCUUGGUCGUACGCAUUUGCGUGUAUGAUUAGUGUACGAUCAAAUCGAGGGCAUCACAUGCGGAGCAUCCUAUCGACAUCAAAAUGGACUCACCGCCAAGACCAAAUGGACAAAUUACAAGAUCUCGAUCAUGGGUGAUGUGGAGCAUCCCACGGACAUCACUAUGAACCCUUCAUCAACCCCACAAAGAGCAAGAGCUCGCGCACGUGCCACUGAAACCGAGGUGACUUCACUCCUCUUUGAGCUUCUUAUGCACUUUGAAGAGUCUUGGUUACUAUUGGAAAUAUGCCCUAGGGGCAACAAUAAAGAGGU
rnacentral:lncRNA from 1 species